UAUUUGAGGAAGAGGAGCCGAUUUUACACAUGCGCAGGUUGAUGAAUGAGGCCAUUGCUGAUGAGAGGUUUGAGGUAUUGUAUGCUUAUGAUUCCUUAUGCCAUUUUUCUUCGAAGUACAACAAAGAUCAUUCUUUUAUUAACAAUUUGAUUGUGUGGCAUUUGAAUAGUGGACUUUCAUUUUUAAUGCUCUAAUUAUGAUUGGAAAGGUCUACUUAGAGAAAUUUUUUACUGCAGUGUUUGGUUUAGUUUUAGAUAAUUAAUGUGUUCAAGUGAUGCACACAAUGAGAUUAAGUCUCUUUGGAGGUGAUGCACACAAAUUGGAGGUUCAGUCUCUUAAUUUCUUUCUUAAAUUAUACAUCUUGCUAGAAUAUCAUUUCUUGUAGCAAUGAAGUUGCAUAAAUUGCUGGUUUCUUGAAACAUGUCAAUAUUUUUGUCUCUUAAUUCGUAGUAUCACUCUUUAAUCUUUAUUCAAUCUGGCUGAGCAUGUAACCAAAUGUUGACUCUUAACUGCAACCCUUGUUUGGGGACAUGAACUACAUUACAAUUUUUUGAGUUCUAGAAAAUAUGUACUUAGCAUAUGUUUUAUAAUCUGAUGCAUGUUCAUUUGAGGCCCUUGCAUCUGCUAACUUUCUACUGUUCUGUUUUCUUGUUUUUGACUUUUCCCUUUUUCCAGGAUGCAGCUAGGUACCAUGAUGAACCUGAAGGAUAUUGCCCCACACUCUCUCUUGAAAUGUUCAAGUGAUGCAACAACGUUGGUAUGGGACCUUGUUACUGGAAGAUUUUUACAAACUCGAGCUUUUCCACUACCAAUUACUGCAAUAGUUGUUGAUCCAACAGAGAUGAAGUUAUUUUCUGGUGGUAUAGAUUGCUAGUGGAUAUUUCUUUUUUGUAUACGAAGGACAUCAUUUUUGUAAUAUUAUCUGUUUGUAUGGAAUUAUUUUUUGGGAUUGGAUUA